rnacentral:tRNA from 1 species
UGCCCCGUGGUGUAACUGGCAACACGCCUGACUCUGGAUCAGGAGAGUCCAGGUUCGAGUCCUGGCGGGGCAGCGA